UACGGAGGGGACUAGCGUUGUUCGGAAUUACUGGGCGUAAAGCGCACGUAGGCGGAUUUGUAAGUCAGGGGUGAAAUCCCCGGGGGCUCAACCUCGGAACUGCCUUUGAUACUGCAAAUCUCGAGUCCGGAAGAGGUGAGUGGAAUUCCUAGUGUAGAGGUGAAAAUUCGUAGAUAUUAGGAAGAACACCAGUGGCGAAGGCGGCUCACUGGUCCGGUACUGACGCUGAGGUGCGAAAGCGUGGGGAGCAAACAGG
rnacentral:rRNA from 1 species